GGAAUUGACGGGGGCCCGCACCAGCGGUGGAGCAUGUGGUUUUAUUCGAAGCAACGCGAAGGACCUUACCAGGUCUUGACAUCCUUUGACCACUCUAGAGAUAGAGCUUUCCCUUCGGGGACAAAGUGACAGGUGGUGCAUGGUUGUCGUCAGCUCGUGUCGUGAGAUGUUGGGUUAAGUCCCGCAACGAGCGCAACCCUUAUUGUUAGUUGCCAUCAUUAAGUUGGGCACUCUAGCGAGACUGCCGGUGACAAACCGGAGGAAGGUGGGGAUGACGUCAAAUCAUCAUGCCCCUUAUGACCUGGGCUACACACGUGCUACAAUGGACAGUACAAUGAGCAGCGACACGGCGACGUGAAGCGAAUCUCAUAAAGCUGUUCUCAGUUCGGAUUGUAGGCUGCAACUCGCCUACAUGAAGCCGGAAUCGCUAGUAAUCGCGGAUCAGCACGCCGCGGUGAAUACGUUCCCGGGCCUUGUACACACCGCCCGUCACACCACGAAAGUUUGUAACACCCGAAGUCGGUGAGGUAACCGCAAGGAGCCAACCGCCUAAGGUGGGAUAGAUGAUUGGGGUGAAGUCGUAACAAGGUAACCAAGGGCGAAUUCUG
rnacentral:rRNA from 1 species